GAUGAACGCUGGCGGCGUGCCUAAUACAUGCAAGUCGAGCGAACAGACGAGGAGCUUGCUCCUCAGACGUUAGCGGCGGACGGGUGAGUAACACGUGGAUAACCUACCUAUAAGACUGGGAUAACUUCGGGAAACCGGAGCUAAUACCGGAUAAUAUAUUGAACCGCAUGGUUCAAUAGUGAAAGACGGUUUUGCUGUCACUUAUAGAUGGAUCCGCGCCGCAUUAGCUAGUUGGUAAGGUAACGGCUUACCAAGGCGACGAUGCGUAGCCGACCUGAGAGGGUGAUCGGCCACACUGGAACUGAGACACGGUCCAGACUCCUACGGGAGGCAGCAGUAGGGAAUCUUCCGCAAUGGGCGAAAGCCUGACGGAGCAACGCCGCGUGAGUGAUGAAGGUCUUCGGAUCGUAAAACUCUGUUAUUAGGGAAGAACAAAUGUGUAAGUAACUAUGCACGUCUUGACGGUACCUAAUCAGAAAGCCACGGCUAACUACGU
rnacentral:rRNA from 1 species